CCAGAAUCUGCCUUUACGGCCACUGGACAAGCCCCCGAAGCUGCGACAGCCCCUGAAGCCGCGGGCAGGUGUGGACACAUGCAAGCCUCGCCCCAAGGAUGACCUGCCAGCAGCAGUUACAUUGGCAGGGCUGAACUCCGAAGAAGCCAGCACCAGUGAGGGUUUGAUUGAGCAGGAACUACCCAACCAGGAUGCCGAUGCUGCAGAUCCCAUUGGUCUUCAGGCUGAACUUCACACCUUGAAGAAAGAUGUCGGAAGUCAAGCGGACACACUACAGCUUGAGAAAGAUCAAGUGCUCGGGAUAGCACGGGUUAAGAAUGAACCGGCCCUCGUAUCACUGACCUGCAUACCCUGUUU